CGCACUGUGUAAGCCAUCUCUGUCACCCAUCACGUGCUAAAAUACUGUGCUGGAAAAUCUCUGGGACUAGAGGGACCCAACACAGAAGCAAAGGAACUACUCUGAGCUGGAGAAAACGCAAACACCUGUUUCACAGCACUGCAAGCAAUACUGCUUUUGGCAGGACCGUGGGGACCGUAUGCCCCCAGGGUCUUAAUCCUCAAGUGAGGAGAAUGAGCUCACGAAUGCAAGUGAGGCAAAUGAACUCACACAGGAUACAUCCUAAAAAGCUUUUCAUUAAAAUUCAUGUAAUUGUCUAUGUCAUUUUAAAGCACAUGUGUUCUUUUGCUUUCCGUCAGAGUUACAGAAUGAACCGCAGAACAUUCUCACCCAGAGUUUUGGUUGGAGCGAGUGCCUGCUAUUGGGCUUUUGCCUGGGAGGCUGAAGCAGUAGGGACACUGCUGCGUGCUCUCCGGAGGGAGAGGUCCUCCUACUCUUCAGGAGGUUCUUCCGCCAGGGCCAAAAAAAGAAGAAAGAGUUGGAAGGAGACAGAGUGAGGAGGGAAAGAACGAAGGAAGGAGCAGGUAGAGGAAGGAGAAAGGAGAGAGAGGGAGGUGUCUUGGUGACGUUUGUCCACUACACCUCCCUCAGCCCAAAGCCCCACUGCGCUCCGCCUUUGCCACCUUCCUCUGGAGACCACACGUGCAAAGCUGCAUCUGGACUCUCUGGAGCCUCUCGUCAUCCCAGGGUCGUCACCGCAAGAGCACUCGGAAACACUACUGUACCGGCAAAUUGCUGAAUAAACGAAUUGAGCGUCAUGCUUUAACCUUUCUUUUAAUUUAUAUACAGUUAAUCAGCAAAUUAUUGGCUAUCAGAAAGAAUUUCCCUGCAAAAUGGGUGGACUCUCUCCCCUGGGAGGGGGGAGAGGCACCAGUGUACCCUGACAUUUAAGCCUCAGCGGCAUGUCCUUUAUGCAGUCCUGGGGGACAGAGGUGGGACAUCACCGGUCAUGGUGCAAGCAGAACUCUGCGCAUAGAACAUCCUGCUAGAGCACCUUACAAAAUUAUCAGUGAGCCUCUUUCUGAAUGUUCGUUAUGGUAAAACCUCUCUGAAAAACACUGCAGUAUACCCCACUGCGGACCAACUCUGACCAACAGGGAACAGCCCCCUCUGUGAAGCCAGACCUGCCUUUCCCUUCAGUGUUUGCCUGCUGGUACCCGUCUUGUAUUCCCAGAUAGCACACAACAGCUCAGCUUCUCCUCCCGCCUAGCACCAGAAAGGAGCCAGUGCUGUCUUUCCUGCCAUAUACUAAUCGCCCACAGUUCUCCAGACCCAUGCAGUGCCCUCUCCAGGUGUGGUUUGUACCUGUGGGUACAGCGAAAGAAAGCCUGGACGCACCGUAGGUGGGCUCUGUGCGGUCCCGUAGUUAUUUGCUAAUUUCACGGUAGAAAUGUAAGUGGCAAUGGUGCCUUACACUUUGCGGCCAUCAUAAAUUUUAACAUCACUCUUUGAUCUCAGAGAAGUUCAGAUACAGACAUGGCUGACAUUAUUAUCAUUUGUGACAUUAUUAUCAUUAUGACUUUCAUAUGUCAUAGACAUUUUCUGUCUCAAGACAGACGGAAAACGUCUUUGUGUGCAAUCCCAUGCACCAGUGAUUCCUGGGCAGUCCUUUACCCAAGGAGCUAAAUCUUGAGUGGUUGACUUUCAGGCUGCUUGAGCGAUGGUUGAGAGGGGUGUGUAGUAAUAAAUGUUUGAUGAUGGUCCUGUCAGAUUCCCCCUCAUUAUACCCACAGGUAUCGCAUUAUCAUAAAGCUAGAACGUGCAACACAAAAGCCUCACAACAUGUUGAAAAAUCCAAAGGCUAGUUAUUAGGAAGUAAGUCACAUCUGUCACUUUCAAAACUUGGAAGCAUCACUGGAGAACGUGGUAAAAGGUAGCUAGAAUUAACAUUAUUCCAUAUAAAAUGUAUAUUUAGAAAUAACUUGAGUCUUAGAAAGCCA
rnacentral:lncRNA from 1 species